AUAGAAUUUGGAAUUGAAUUUGACAGCCCAAACAACUUUCCAAAACCGGGCACUGGGAAACCGCUCCCUAAAUCAAACGUACCAACGCCCACCUGUGAGAUCGCUUUCGUACGCGCCGCAGACUCAUCACUGUUUUCUUUCCCCCCACUACCAGAAUCUCUAUUACUUACCCCAAAAAAGGAAACCCGGCCAGAAAAUACCUCAAGAGGGCCCGCAAAGGAAACCCUAGCCGUAGCACAAAUAAGGGAAGAAGAAGAAGAAGAAGAUGAUGAUUGUACAGUCUAUAUGUACGACAUCCAGGGGGCUUUCGCUUCGCUUCAGAAUCUUGCGCUUCAAGCUGAAGCGUCUAGUUCCAAGAUGCGGAAGGCUGAUGAGAGAACUGUCAAGAUCAGAGAUGGAAGCCUUUCCUUGAUGUUGAUUUAAUGGAGUUGAGAACGAGUAAAAGCUCUCCUGUUCAAUGCAUUGCCUGUACAUCAAGUAGGAACUCGUAACUUUUCGAGAAGAAUCAUACCCCCAGCAUAUUAUGUAGGUUACAGUGGUGAUAUCCAGAAAGUACUUGCGGAUUUUGCAUGGAACCAUUCCUUAGGAAUUUGUAGUUAAUUGGUUGUUACCAAACUGAAGGGAAAAAAAAAUUGAACAGAAGACUUACGUUCUAAACUAUCAAGGUUUUCGCAAAGCUGCCGAUCUAGUCUACUUUAGGAUUCUAAUUAUAUAUGGCCUUCAAUUUUCUAUUUAUCUAUGCUGUUUACUGUAUUGCUUUACUGAAACUAAUUGUGGCAAUUGUUGUGUAGGAUAGGUUGAACACUAGCUAUAUGACAAAACAUAUAUAUGUACGAAGUUAGCAAUGGAUAAUAUCUUUGAAAUGUUAAGAUAACUUUCUUAGCAGUGGAGGGAGGACAGUUUUAUUUGUUAUUCAUUUCAAAACAUUUGGGGGCUUUAUAUAGUCCCUUUGGAACAUUUUUUUUUAAUGAUUAGGAGCCUUAUUGGCUAAAUUAGAGCGCUAUGGAGGGGAGUUUUCCUGUUUGUUAGGUCUACAUGGUGGAAUAAGCAUAACUAAGGGCGAGGUUGAAAUCCUAAAAAAGUAUUGGCUUUUAAAUGCAUAUAUUGAAGGCCGCUGUAGGCGUAUAUAUGGGUACAAGUAGCAAAAUCAACGAACCUCAAAAUUAACCCACCAUGUCACAUUUUUUCCUAUGGCCCCUUGUAGGGGUCAAAAGGGUGCUAUACGUGACUGCCACCCUAGCUAGCUCUUUACAAUAAGUAAUGGAACAUUUAGGUAUGCUUAGGGUUUAGGGGUUUUAUGUGACUGCCACACUAGCUAGCUUUUUCUUUUGCUUACAAUAAGUAGUGGAACAUUUAGGUGUGUUUAAUUUGGUUUUUCUGUAAUGAGUGCAUUGAAGCAAAUCAUAUCAGAAAUGCCCGGUCUGAGUUUGAGGGUACGGAGCAGCUAGUUUGCCUUUGCCAAUGUGACACAACCCGGGAGGGACAAACACAAGAUUUUUGUGUAAGUAGACGCCAACCAAGUGUGGAUGCAUAUGGAACAUUUCAUAUUUAGCUCAUAGAUGGGCAUGAUUUCUUAUAUCUUUAAUCCCAGCUGCUAGCUAGUGGCAAUGCAAAGAGGGAAGCACAAAUGCUCAUUAUGCAAAUAUUGAGGGGCCGGGGACGAAGUAUGUGCAUUGAGGUAGAAAUUGACUAAAGUGAAUUUUUUUCAGUUUGUUCUUUAGCUAGUACCACACACACACACAUAUUUCAUAUUCCUUUCAUUAGUAGGGCCUCUUUUCUUAUUUCCACCUUGGAAUGCCUUAAAAACCUGUUCUUUCAGAGGGGCAGUGAUUUCUGUAUUUGACAUCAGCAUCAUUGCCAGCACAAUCUAGCAUUUUUCGCACAUUUAUUUGCAGUUGAAUUAGAGCUCAGGAUUUUGGCUUAAUUUGAGUCAAUUUCCUCGAGAGAUGGUGAUCAUGUGCAAUUCUUAGUUUGUGAACUCUCUUAUCCAACGGACAGUCGAGGCCUUUUUAACUUUCUGUCCUAUUUUUAUGGAUAUCUGUAUAUAUAUAUAUAUAUAUGUCAUUUAACCUAAGUUCUGCUCCAUAUCAAAGGGCUUCUUUUUCCUAGAGAAAGUGCUUUUUUUUCCCCAAACACUUGAUCUCUCUACCUUUAAUUGCUCCUAUCCUAGUUGAAGGGAAUCGGGUAGACUUGUAGAUGAUUUGGAUUUAGACUAUAUUUGCUCUAGAUUCAUUAGAUGCAAAAUCCAGUGUAAUGGUUCAUCAAUUUGUAUUUUGAUUGGAUUUCACGUAUCUAAGAUUAAAUCUAAAUCCAUUUUUUGGUGACUUUUAUUUCUGUAAACCUUUAGGCAUUUUUGAUAAACAUAAGUGUGAACAAUAUUAGAGUAGUAUAUCCCCCCCAAAAAAAUGCAAUAUCACAUGUAACUUGCUUUGACAAGUAUUGUCAAGCUCUCCUUUUGGAGGGAUACUAAAUAUAUUGAUAUUAGAUGAAUAAAAGGAUAAAACAUAUGACUUCAUGCAUACCCACCAUGGAUAAUUGAAAUUUAAAGGCUAAUACAUGAAUUAAGAAUUUGAAUAAAAUACUUUUACUAUCAAUCAUCUCAUGUGAACUAUGUAUGACAGUGGUAGAUGCACUGUCCAGACAAUUUUUUUUUAAAAUUUAUUAUAUUUAUUUUGAGUUUACAUAUCACCCCCCCCCCCCCCCCCCC